GACGAACGCUGGCGGCGUGCUUAACACAUGCAAGUCGAACGGAAAGGCCCUGCUUUUGUGGGGUGCUCGAGUGGCGAACGGGUGAGUAACACGUGAGUAACCUGCCCUUGACUUUGGGAUAACUUCAGGAAACUGGGGCUAAUACCGGAUAGGAGCUCCUGCUGCAUGGUGGGGGUUGGAAAGUUUCGGCGGUUGGGGAUGGACUCGCGGCUUAUCAGCUUGUUGGUGGGGUAGUGGCUUACCAAGGCUUUGACGGGUAGCCGGCCUGAGAGGGUGACCGGCCACAUUGGGACUGAGAUACGGCCCAGACUCCUACGGGAGGCAGCAGUGGGGAAUAUUGCACAAUGGGCGGGAGCCUGAUGCAGCAACGCCGCGUGCGGGAUGACGGCCUUCGGGUUGUAAACCGCUUUCGCCUGUGACGAAGCGUGAGUGACGGUAAUGGGUAAAGAAGCACCGGCUAACUGCGUG
rnacentral:rRNA from 1 species